CCUUCUCUGGAAGCUGAAGCACAUCUGCAUGCCAAGAGACAAAUGACCUUUCAGCGUGCAGGCUGCUUAUUCCAGAGUAUUAAAUAUCCCAAUUCUGCUGCCCUGUUCUAACGUGACCUUUCUAUGGCCCUGUGUGAAGACCCACGCGUGGUGACCACUGCUAGCUUCAGGAAGAUCCCUGGGGCAGAGGGAAACUCAGUUUAGCUGGGAGCUGUCGUAGGGUGCAGCUGUGUGACUGUCCCUCUCUCCUGGAUGGAUCUUGGACCUAUAUUGCAGGUAGGUCUGUCUCCAGCCCUAUUUCUGCACUGUCUGUGGUAUGGACCAUGGGUUGAUGUUGUAGUCUUGCCAGCAGUCAUCCCCAUCUCCUGCUGCUCCCUGGCAGUUUGUUCCUGGCAUGCGUGAACCAGUAGGGACACCAGCUGUCGCUGUACUGGUGGGACGAGGAGAAGCCAUAGGUAAUGCUUUGUCACCUGAAGGAAGAUGAGUUUGGGAUGUUGUCCCAGGCUCCAAACAGUUUUUCCCCACCUAAAUAAUAUUAAGCCAAGUUUGCAGAUAUAUGUUUACAUACAAAAAUCCCCAGACUUCUAAAGGUUGAUGAUUUUGUGCUGCACAGAAGUCGCCAAGUUGUGAAGUCCCAUCCGAGGAACCCUUCCAUGCACAUGCACACAUGCCUAUAAAGCCCUGCAAAGCCUGUCAUCAGCCUCCCCUUCUCCAAAUAGGAUUUUGGAAUUUCAAGUGGAAAUGCAUUUUUAUUUAUAGUCUUGGUACAUUUUUUGACCACAAUAAACAAAUACAAGGAGCAAGAGCAGCGCAUUUCAAUUUGUUUACGGGGUGGCAUUGUUUUCCCAUUGGCCUGGAGUGGUGAGUCAGCUUUGCUGUUUAGCUCACCCUGUUCUCAGAGGUCCUCUCCAGCCUUUGGGCCAGAGUGCACUUGCCAAGGGUCAGCUGCCUUGGCUUCACGUUUUAAGAGAUUACUUUACGUUUCCUUCUUGAUAGCAUGGUGGGCUCUCGGUCAGAUAGCCCUGUGCUGCAGUAUCAGAGCAAAUCCUUUAAAACAGGCUAUUGCCAGAUGCAUUCAUUUGACAUUCAUGACCUAGUUUCUCCAAAUUGUGAAACUGUAGUUAAUAUUUCAAAAAAUAUAUACAAUUUAAGCAGAAGUGUUUAUGUUCUGGUGUGGGGAUUUACUAGGGGUGCACAGACUCAGAUUACAAUUUCAAAUUUUUCUGCGUAAUUAUAAGGGUGAGAAAUGUAUCUUUUGAUCUGAAAGCAGGGGAACCACUUGCCUCCAGCAACCAGAGCUGUAAGAAAAGCACAAAAUACUGGGAGACUAGAGGCUAAAAAAAAAAAAUUGAUACAUAAAUAGUUAAAAGUUGCUUUUGUUCUGGAUUUGCUGGUGUUCUUCAGCAAGUCAGGAUCUCCAGACUCGCUAUCCCAACAUUGCUUGUUGUGUUAGUAGUGCAUGAGCUAGCGCUGACUUCUUGGGAUCAGCCAGGACUUGCGGUGCAGCUGGAGGCUGUGACAGCAGAGCUGGGGUGCCCCCCUACCACCACCCUCUGGGAGGUGUCCACUUCUUUCCAUCCUCAGCUUUUUGCAGCAAGACCUUUCUCUAAAAAAGCGAGCUUUGUUUGCAGACUGACGUGCUCACAGCCUGU